rnacentral:rRNA from 1 species
AUUGAACGCUGGCGGCAGGCCUAACACAUGCAAGUCGAGCGGAUGAAGGGAGCUUGCUCCUGGAUUCAGCGGCGGACGGGUGAGUAAUGCCUAGGAAUCUGCCUGGUAGUGGGGGAUAACGUCCGGAAACGGGCGCUAAUACCGCAUACGUCCUGAGGGAGAAAGUGGGGGAUCUUCGGACCUCCCGCUAUCAGAUGAGCCUAGGUCGGAUUAGCUAGUUGGUGGGGUAAAGGCCUACCAAGGCGACGAUCCGUAACUGGUCUGAGAGGAUGAUCAGUCACACUGGAACUGAGACACGGUCCAGACUCCUACGGGAGGCAGCAGUGGGGAAUAUUGGGCAAUGGGCGAAAGCCUGAUCCAGCCAUGCCGCGUGUGUGAAGAAGGUCUUCGGAUUGUAAAGCACUUUAAGUUGGGAGGAAGGGCAGUAAGUUAAUACCUUGCUGUUUUGACGUUACCAACAGAAUAAGCACCGGCUAACUUCGUG